CUAACUAUCACGUGCCUUUCUUGUACGUUGCCCUAAUUCUCUCAUCUUCCAUCUCUCGCCGCCGCCGCUCCUUCUAUGCUUGAUUUCAAGGCGAGCAGAGCCCGGCGCAUCCCUCCCGCCGCUCAGCCCUCCUCUCUCUACUACCCCACCGGGCUCCGACGCCGCUUCUUCUCUCUAGCCGCAGGAGUGAUCGGCAGCCACACGACGGAAGCUGUUUCCUCUCUCUCGUCUUCUCUCUUUCUCGUAUCUGGUCUCCCCGCUCUCGGUUCCUGGCUCCAAUCUGCCACUCCCCUUCUCCUCUCUCCUGCACCAGCGAUCCCAGUCGCCGUUUCCUCUCUGCUAUGCCCCCGAUCCCUGGCUGCCGCUCCCCUCUCGGUUCCCAGCUCUGGUCCGCUGCUCCCCUCUCGAUGCCCUUGUCCGAGAAGGUCGGCUCACCUUGAAAUCAGGUACAGAGGCAAUGAUGCCCUGAAAAACCUCUCGUGCCCUCAUCUCUCUACAACGAUGGCGUAGUAGCUUGGAUGGCCUAGUAGGCAACCGCUACUCCUAUUGUUGUAGAGGGAGAGGGAAGGGUGGGAGAAAAUUUCCAAUCUGAGCCUCUUUUUCAUUCGCAUGAAUCCUUUUGAUGUGGCUGGUUUGUGUAAUUGGUUCGCUCUAUAUAGCAUUACUCUUUUAGAUGUUCUUCUGGCCAUGAUGAUUUGCCCUAUAAAAGAGUAUGGAGAUUGGGUGGUGUGGCAACAUCAGUUGCAGCCCUUGAUUUAUCAAUGUGAAUGAAUAGAGGGCAAGAUCUGAGCCUAUGAUGUUCAUUGUCUGAAUUUUUUCUUGUCUUAAAUUCAGUCUAAUCUAGUUCUUGAAGCAGGAGCAGGAAUGUACGAAUUUCCUCCACAUAUUUGAGAAACUUCUGGGAUGCCCAUUCUGGACAGUAUAUUGAGGAGUAUAAACAAUGCAUGGACUAAUCAAGAAAAUUUUAACUGCAGAUCUAAUGAAUAGAAGGCAAGAUCUAUGAGGAGUAUGAACUGCUGCUGAGUCUUCAAGAAGGUUGCAGUGACUUUUUUCAUAAGAUUCUGAGCUAUCUGUAACACCAAGAUGGAAAUUAACAAGUGGAAGAAUCUUUUAAAGAACUAUAUUAAGAGCCAAGAUGAAGAGGUUCUUUUGGGCUUCUCUUUUCUCAUGGGCACUAGUACAUGGGUGGAUAUUCUGCUAACUAUGCAUCAAGCCAUAAUGUGGUUGUUCUGGUGAUGCUAAAUUGCUACUAUUCUCUAAUGCAAAUAUCAAGGUCAUCUUCAGUAACAUUUGAGCAUUCAUUAUUUUUCUCAGGCUAUAAUGUGAGAAGUGAAGUGUUUUUCAGAAAUUAUGUUCUUAUAAGCUGUUAUGAAAUGACUUACUGGUUGGCAAGAAAGUGAUGUGUUCUUUUUAACUGAAUAUUGGAAACAAUCACUUACCCAAAUUUGUUUACCCCUGAUUUUAGGGUAUGAUCGCUAGUCAUGCUUACUAUUACCUCGAAGAUGUCUAUCCAAAGAUGACGGGCCAUUGCCCAUUGAAGACCCCUUCUUUCAUCAAAUCUCUAUUUGCUGAUGAUAAUGUUGUUGUGGCACAGCCAGAAAAUGUGAGAUUCGCCCCUCCAACACCAGAGCUUCAUCAAGACUAUGUACUCUAAUGCCAUAAGAUCUUCUGCUUGUUGGCAUGAACAUCAGAUGUUAAAUGAUAUAUAUAUAUAUAUAUAGAUAUAUAGAUAUGUUUA